rnacentral:rRNA from 1 species
GACGAACGCUGGCGGCGUGCUUAACACAUGCAAGUCGAACGGAAAGGCCCUGCUUUUGUGGGGUGCUCGAGUGGCGAACGGGUGAGUAACACGUGAGUAACCUGCCCUUGACUUUGGGAUAACUUCAGGAAACUGGGGCUAAUACCGGAUAGGAGCUCCUGCUGCAUGGUGGGGGUUGGAAAGUUUCGGCGGUUGGGGAUGGACUCGCGGCUUAUCAGCUUGUUGGUGGGGUAGUGGCUUACCAAGGCUUUGACGGGUAGCCGGCCUGAGAGGGUGACCGGCCACAUGGGGACUGAGAUACGGCCCAGACUCCUACGGGAGGCGGCAGUGGGGAAUAUUGCACAAUGGGCGGAAGCCUGAUGCAGCAACGCCGCGUGCGGGAUGACGGCCUUCGGGGUGUAAACCGCUUUCGCCUGUGAGGAAGCGUGAGUGACGGUAAUGGGUAAAGAAGCACCGGCUAACUACGUG